GAUGAACGCUGGCGGCGUGCCUAAUACAUGCAAGUCGAGCGACCGGACGAGAAGCUCGCUCCUCUGAUGUUAGCGGCGGACGGGCGGGUAACACGUGGAUCACCUUCUUCUAUGACUGGGAUAAUUUCGGGAAAACGCAGAUACUACCGGCUCAUAUUUUGUACCGCAUGGUUCACAAGUGCAUGACGCUUUUCCCGUCACAUAUAGCUGGAUCCGCGCUGCAUUAGCUAGUUGGUAAGGUAACGGCUGACCAAGGCAACGAUGCAUAGCCGACCUGAGAGGGUGAUCAGCCACACUGGAACUGAGACACGGUCCAGACUCCUACGGGAGGCAGCAGUAGGGAAUCUUCCGCAAUGGGCGAAAGCCUGACGGAGCAACGCCGCGUGAGUGAUGAAGGUCUUCGGAUCGUAAAACUCUGUUAUUGGGGAAGAACAGAUGUAUAAGUAACUGUGCACAUCUUGACGGUACCUAAUCAGAAAGCCACGGCUAACUACGUG
rnacentral:rRNA from 1 species